UUGCAACGGCGAAUUGUAGUUUCGAGAAGCACUUUCUCGGCGGAUCCGAGGUCGUCCAAGUUGCUUGGAACAGCACGUCGUAGAGGGUGACAACCCCGUCUGCGGCGAUCUCGGCCGUUCACGAUGUGCUUUCGACGAGUCGGGUUGUUUGGGAAUGCAGCCCAAAAUGGGUGGUAAACUCCAUCUAAAGCUAAAUAUUGGCACGAGACCGAUAGCGAACAAGUACCGUGAGGGAAAGAUGAAAAGCACUUNGAAAAGAGAGUUAAAAAGUACGUGAAACCGUUAAAAGGGAAACGAAUGGGGUUAGCAAUGCGUCGUGCGAGAUUCAGCCGGUGGGUGGGCCAGGCGGGCGGUUGGCGGAUCUGAAUGGACCGCUGCCGUUCGGGUUGGUUUCCCGACCGUCGCACUUCUCGCAGGCGCGCGCCAACGUCGGUUAGGGCUGGGUCUCAAAGGCGGUGGAAAGGUAGGUUUGGACUCUCGGGCCCGAACUGUUACAGUCCUCCGUUUGUCAUGGCCCGGACCUGACCGAGGAGCUUGCGGUGCAUGCCGUUCGGCUAGGGUCCCGUCUUCCCGGUCGGUCGUCGAAUGCGGUGGACUGCGUGCAGUGCGCCGCGACUGCUGCCGGUCGCGAGGGCGGUGAUUUCGUACUAUGCACCCACGACGUUGGCGGUCAUAUGGCCUCAUCCGACCCGUCUUGAAACACGGACCAAGGAGUCUAACAUGUGUGCGAGUCUUUGAGUGAUCGAAACUCCGAGGCGAAAUGAAAGUGAAGGCGACUUCGGUCGCUGAGGUGAGAGCCUUUUUCACAAAAAAAAGGCGCAUCAUUGACCGACCUAUUCUACUCUUAGAAAGGUUUGAGUAAGAGCGCAUCUGUUGGGACCCGAAAGAUGGUGAACUAUGCCUGAAUAGGGUGAAGCCAGAGGAAACUCUGGUGGAGGCUCGUAGCGAUUCUGACGUGCAAAUCGAUCGUCAAAUUUGGGUAUAGGGGCGAAAGACUAAUCGAACUGUCUAGUAGCUGGUUCCCUCCGAAGUUUCCCUCAGGAUAGCGGA
rfam:Nematostella vectensis strain CH2 x CH6 NEMVEscaffold_554_Cont29926, whole genome shotgun sequence.